GACGAACGCUGGCGGCGUGCUUAACACAUGCAAGUCGAACGGAAAGGCCCUGCUUGCCGGGUGCUCGAGUGGCGAACGGGUGAGUAACACGUGGGUGAUCUGCCCCUUACUUUGGGAUAAGCCUGGGAAACUGGGUCUAAUACUGGAUAGGACCAUGCUGUAGGUGGUGUGGUGGAAAGAUUAGUUUCGGUAAGGGAUGAGCUCGCGGCCUAUCAGCUUGUUGGUGGGGUAAUGGCCUACCAAGGCGUCGACGGGUAGCCGGCCUGAGAGGGUGGACGGCCACAUUGGGACUGAGAUACGGCCCAGACUCCUACGGGAGGCAGCAGUGGGGAAUAUUGCACAAUGGGGGCAAGCCUGAUGCAGCGACGUCGCGUGGGGGAUGACGUCCUUCGUGUUGUAAACUCCUUUCAGCCAUGACGAAGCCCUUGUGGUGACGGUAGUGGUAGAAGAAGCACCGGCUAACUACGUG
rnacentral:rRNA from 1 species